UGCCACUGAGCAAAGUGGGAACAAGCAGUGGCUGUGUUGGCACCCAGGAGGGUGCAGGAUUGGCACCCAGGGCAGAGCAGAGCUCCCUGACUCAGAGCUGGCACAGGCUGUAUCGUUCUGCUUGGGCUGGUGAAGAGCAGCUCACAGGGGCUGCAUUGCUGCAGAAGGUGAGCAAGAAUUUCAGUAUGGGCUGCCUCUCUCCCCCCUGCUCACUGAGGAGGAGGCUCCAUGCACCCGGAGGCUGCAUCCUGGGCAGCCGGGGAGAGGGUGAGUGUGCAAAGUCACAGGGAAUCUUUCAUCAGGCUUGGAAAGCCACUGCUCAUAUUGUGCAGACACAUUUUGGCAUUAUUUCUCCCUGCUGCAUCCUGGAGUGGCCAAAUACUGCGACAGAGAAGAACUUGUAGGAACAAAAGAUAUUUCUCCUUAAGCCAAGAGCCCCUGGAAAGAGCUCAGAUUGCAGCAAGCUUUCAUUCCCCUAUCUCUCUUUGUAAUUAAGCUUUGCAUUAGUAUCAGAUGAAAUUAAUGCUCAAAGCUCAUUCCCUAUUAACAGGGAGGGUGGUUGCUGUUGUGCAUGUGUGUUUAAAGCAGAGUUGUACCUGCUGAUCUUGAUGAAUGGGUCAUUUGUGCUGUGAGUUUUCUCUGAAAAUGAGGAGGAGAGUACACAGCCCUGGUGCUGAUAAGGGAUGGUGUUAUUCUGUGUUCUGUAGCCACUUCUCCAGGAAGCCGUUGCUUCAUUUGUAUUGCUUUUUUAACCUUAUAUGCUCAGUGGGCCCAGGCGAAGCUUCUUUCUUCUUGAAUUAAAUGUAAUCAGGCUGAGCAGCGAGGAAGAAAUGAUGAAUGAGGACAUCAUUUUGGAAAACACAUAUCUCCUGACUGCUUAUCUCAAUGACAUAAGAGGACUUGAAUACUGUAUGGAAAAUAAAUGCAGAUGGAGGCUCAGCAUAUCAUGCUGGAGAAUAAUAGCUCAGAGGCUUAGACCUGGCCAGAAACUAUUUAUUAUUUAGAGUAUUGCUCUUGUAAUUUAUAAAGGUUAAUCACUAAAACUUUAAUUCUCCUAUAGGAAAAUGGUUAAAGAGCUCUGGCAUUUGUCAUGGUUGCAGCAAGAAGGGACCAUGGCAAUGAAAGAAGAAAUCUUGCAGGGAGAGCCAGUGCCUGGGCUGACCCAUCCAAGAGGGCAUCAUUGUCUUUCCUACCCGCAACCAGAUCCAGUGCCAGCCCAACCCACCAUGGCAGAACUUUGGAGGUAAGGAUGGGUGGAAGGAGGGGGUGUGCAAAGAGGCAAAGUGCCGGUGAUGCACAAAAAGACUUGCAGAACUGUAGUUAUAGCAAGGAGCUGUUGUCCUUCAGGGAGAGCACUGAAUAAAGUCCCCGCACUUCACCUCCUGGCCAUCCUCCCAGGCUGGCAGCAGAAACUCAGAAAAUGUCACAGCACAUGAAGUCUCUAGAGGGCAAGAAGAAAGAAGGACUCAAAAUAAAACUUCAUGAAGUGGAAGAGCGAUGAGGUUGUCUCAUCUAUUCUGAGGCUACAUUUUUAGCCAGGGUGCAUUUGUUAAUGGCCCUAUAAACUAGGUGAAUAAGGAGAAGAAAGGGGGAAUAGUUGCCAAAUAAUUUGCUUUUUCAACACUCCAGUGUACCACUGAAGUUAUUUAUUUGCAAUGUGACUUCCUCUAGAUAGAAUAAAUCUGAUAAAGUCUGGCCACACUGAGCUAAAAUAGCAUUUGAGCUGGCUUGUUCAACACAGGUCAGUGUGCAAUUAUGGAAACAUCCACAUUUUCAUCUGGAGCAGAACAGGCCACUUUGCCAUGAAAAAGAAGGUGUGUUUUUUUUCUUUUUUUGCACUGAUAAUCAGAUUUCCAUAAGAAACAAAGUGCCUUUGCAAAUUCAAGUCAUUAAGCCAUGUCUGUGUUCUGGUGGGGGAAUACUGCUCAUCACAAGAACAAGGAGUACAGCAUAUCCCAGAACAAGUCCAGGGAGAGUCUGCAUUAAGAGAGUAUUAAUUAUAAUAAAUAAAGAUGACAGAAAAGUCAAUGUUUAGAAAAUAAUGCAGGGCUAGCCCAGCUCAACCAUGCUCAAACUUCAAACAACCCUCAGACUUUGAAUGUCUGAAAUUUGAGACUGGAGACCAUCUUCAGUGUUAGACUGUUAGUGUUAAUUGAAAAAUGCUCAUGAAUGCAGCACAACACAGUUUACCUGACCCCCAUGUCAAACAUAUUUCAUUGCAGAAAAGUCCUGCAAUUUCAUGGGGAUCCUGCACCCACCAGCAGACCUGGGCAGUGCAGCAGUUUACAUUGCAGCUCAUUGCACGGGGCCAGGUUCCUCAGGGAGCUGAGGGAAAUCUCCAGUGUUGCUUGAAGGUUUGCAAUAUCCAGAUGUGGGGGAAGAAAAGCUUUGGUUAGCAAUCUGAGUCCUAAAUGAAUUUCAUUGAAUUGGCAUUAAUUACUGUCUCUGUUUAUUGGCGUUGCCAUAAGAUUUUCCAUUAAUUCACAGAGUGGCUGUUUUGCCUUGCUCAUGAAACCCAGGUAUUAGAGUCCUCCAGGUCCUGGGAUGCAGACCUUCCCGAGAACAUUCCUCACACCACUGGUGUGCAAAAUGCAUAAAUGCAACUGCUGGCAGCAAGGGGAAAGCAGCAGAGAAAGAAUUAAAUUCAUGUAUUUAUUCUUGUUGUUGACCUCUCUCAUUCCUGGGUGGUGUAUCUUAGAGCAGUCUGAUGGUAUCUUACCUGUGAUGCUACAGGGCUGCUGUGGCCCAAAUAUUGAGGGUGCUUGGGUGUAAAACACUGAUUUGUCUUUGUGCAGCCUUUGAACAACACACAGCUUUGGUUCUCCCUGGGAACAGGAAAUGGGAUGAGGUUAAGCUGUGGAAGGACUGAGGAGUGUCUGUCUAAGGCAGCAGUAGCAACCCUUCAGAGCAGGCACUUGGCAUCCCUCCUUACUCCUGUGAUGGAGGGCUGGAGGAUUUCAUUCAGAAAGCCUGCAGGUCUCUGAGGAAUAUAUGCUUAGGCUCAUUGCAAAAUGAUGGAUCAAGGUUUAGCAAGGCAAACUGAGAAUUGGGACUGGACUGGUUUUGGAAAUCCUUCACUGGCCUCCUUACUGAAAAUGACAAUUAUCCUGCUGGUAUUCUUUCUCCUGUUUUUGUGUGUUGGUUUGUGUUUGUUUGGUUGGUUGGUUGGUUUUUUGUUUGGUUGGUUGGUUUUGGGGGGGGUGGGUUUUUUGUUUUUAUUGUUGUUGUUUGUUGUUGUUUGCUGUUGUUUUGUGGUUUUCUUUUUUUUUUUCAGUAUAAUUUCACUUUUAAAAUAUAAUUUCCAGUUUUUACUAGGUCUCCCUUUGUUUCUGAUUUACUUCAGCAAUUAUCCCUAAGUAGGUCUGCAGUGCCACAAAACCGAGGUGCUCUUCUGCCUGCUGAAAAGCCAGUAAAUCUUAGAAACUGACCAUGAAAUCAAAAAGAGAACAGAGACAAUGGCUGGAGCAGCACUUCCUCAGAAAACGAGUCAUGGAAACGUCAAACACAAUGAGGUCUUUGCCUCUCAGAUGGUGUGUGACAAAGGAGAAGGCACUGAACGGGGUGAUCCCAUCCUGCCAUCCUGGGCUCUGUGGUGGCACACUGGCUGCCAGCACUGACAUUCAGCCUGUGCAUGGAACUGCCUGAGAAAGGUCAUCGAAUCAUAAAAUCAUUAACCUUGGAAAAGACCUCCAGGAUCAUCAAGUCCAACCUUUGAGCAUGCCCACUGAAUCAUGCCACAAAGCACCACAUCUACUCAUUUUUUGAACUCUUCCAGGGCUGGUGACUCCACCGUUUCCCUAGAGAGCCUUCUGCUGCCUUCUCCCUGCCCCUCUUUCCAGCUGUAAAUUGGGAAUAGAGAUAGUGCCUGCAAAUGGAAAUUGGGUGGGGCAUGCUUUUGGCAACACUUAUUUUGAAGACCACUGUGUGAUGAUCUCACAGAUCACUCAACAAAUGGCAAAACAUUCUGUAUGAUGAAGGGAACCUCUGGCCUGUAAAACAACCCUUUUUGGAAGUGCCAUAGAAACCUGUCAGUGCUCAUCCUUCAAAGGCAGCCUCUACAUAGGCCAAGGGCUCCUCACUUACAUGCAAAACAAAAACAAUGUCUGCGAGCGUCCUUAUCCAGACAGACUGAAAACGUACUCCAGUGAGUGCCAAAGGACAAACCCCUGAUGCACACAGGCAGAAAGGAGAGAUGCUCCCAAUGUGCAGGCAUGAUAACAGAGCUAUCCAUACAGGCAGUGUCAGUAUUUUUACGCUGACUGUAAAAAUACUCUGAACAAUUUACUCUGAAAAAGCCAGCAGCUCCCUCAAACAUAGCAUUGCUGGGACCAACAUAUUCCUCUUCCAGAUGACUGAAUAUUGAAAAGAAUGCAAAACAAGCUGAAAAAGUGGAACUUGUCGCUCGUCCUUUGGUGGCUGUCAGCACCGGAAAGGAUGGAUGAAGAAGUGAAACAUGGCCAUCUUCAGCCACUCGCCUGUGUGCUGGGCUUAGAGGUAACUCAUUGGGAGGUGGGAUGCAAGCUUUACUCUGGAAUGUGCUCUAAAUG